UUCAGUGAAAAAAAAAAAAAAAAGCACAACCUCUAAGCAAAGCAGAAUUACAAUUAAACAUAAUUGGGCCUAAUACGAGAUUGUAAGACAGAUGGGCCAUUGAAGAAGUCACAUUGCAAAGUCAGUCUUAUUUAGAAACGAACGAUAACGGAAGCUUCUCUAUAAUCUUGGGGUACUUUAGGAAUUUCGUCUGCCAUAUUGAUCCCAUUUCAUUUAUUUUUGUCCCCGUUUCCGUUACAAAGAUUUCCUUUUAUUUGUUUCCAUUCAAUAUUGUUUGUGUCUUUGUGAUACAUAGUGAGACGUGUUUAUAACCCCAGAGAGACCUAAUCGAUCGAAAUUCCCUCAAUUUGAAGAUCGUUAGUUUGUUAUCUCUUUCUCUUCUAAUUCUUUUUUUACUUAGAUGAUCUUGAUUUCCACUCUUCAAAUCAAGUAAUCUAGUCGAGUGUUUGUGUGUGUGUUCGAUUUCUGAAGAAAAACAACAAAAUUGAAUUCGUUGUUUGGGGGGAUAACGAUGAUCAGAAAGCUAAAAGGGAAGGCUCUCUGAUUUCAAAAGAGAGUGAUAGAGGAGAGAGAGAGAGAGGUUGGUGAAUGGUGAUGAUGGUGUUAUGAUGAGGGAAUGAUGAGUGGCGGAGACGAAGAUGGGCUUUUAAUAAGACACAACAGAAACAGGUCGUCAUUCCUAAACCCUAGCUUUUUCAAAAAUAUAUUUUAUUUAUUAUAAUAUCAAUGACGCAGUUACUGCUUAUAUUUUCGAAUGAGGUGACACGUCAUACGUUUAACUUGGCAAGAAAAAAAUUGAUUUUGAUUAUGAUUUGUAACUAAUCCACGAAUCGGUAAGAAAAUCUACAAAAUCUUCAUUAAUUUGAAACAGCUUCUGGUCUAAUUUUCUAUUUUAUUUCAGCAACUUGUGGUCUAAUUAGACUAUGAAACCUUCACGCAUAACUUUCUGGUGAUCCAAAAAUAAAAUCAAUUUGUAUUUUCUAUAUAAAUUAUAUACGUCAAUACGUGCAUAUAUAUAUAUAUGAGAGAGUCUAGUCUAUUAUUGAAUUGCGAAAUAAAGAAGGCAAUAGAAGUUAGUCAGAAGAGUGGUUGGGUAAAUUGAGGAUGACCAUUUAGGAAACAAAUAUUUUCAAUUUAAUUUUGCAUCGCUUUUUAGGUAUCCUACCAACUUCAUUAAUUAUAAACAUCUUUUCUCUCAAAUUGUAAAUUUUUGAUAUUUAUAUGAAACCACAGGCUGCCAAAAACAUAAAUACAUAUGAAACCACGCAUACACAUAUACAUUCGAGUCUUCAUCUUUAAUUAUGUCUACGGAUUUGUAAUUAUUUCAAAUUCAUAAACAAAAAUUUUAAAUUUAAUAGGAUGGAUUGAUGACAUUAACAAUCAUUUCUUGUUCAGGCAAGUGAUUUAAAUUGAUGACCGUCAAUUUUUCUUUUCUGCAAAGAAAAACUGAAAAUAUCAUUUUUUAGUAGUAUUAGCUAGUUUAGUAUAUAUCAUAUACGGCUUAAAUAUAUGUCGGAGAUAAUAAGUAGAGAUAGGUUUAAGCUUAGCUAGUUGGAAGUUUUCGGGGAGUUGUUUACAACGUGAAGCCAUGUUGUUGUUUCUUUCUGGCGUGGGGAAUUUUUUUUCACUUAAAAGAUUAUUGUAUUCUCCAGUUUCAUUAGUUUAUUAGUACUGAUUAAACCAGAGUUAUCUAUGUACUAAACAUUAUGUGCCUUAAGGGAUCUUGUGAAACAGAUGAUUUUUUUUUCUUAAACUCACAUUCAUCGAUAUCAAGGCAUGAAACAGAUGAUUUAAUCAAUUUU